rnacentral:rRNA from 1 species
AGUGAACGCUGGCGGUAGGCCUAACACAUGCAAGUCGAACGGCAGCACAGUAAGAGCUUGCUCUUACGGGUGGCGAGUGGCGGACGGGUGAGGAAUACAUCGGAAUCUACUUUUUCGUGGGGGAUAACGUAGGGAAACUUACGCUAAUACCGCAUACGACCUACGGGUGAAAGCAGGGGAUCUUCGGACCUUGCGCGAUUGAAUGAGCCGAUGUCGGAUUAGCUAGUUGGCGGGGUAAAGGCCCACCAAGGCGACGAUCCGUAGCUGGUCUGAGAGGAGGGUCAGCCACACUGGAACUGGGACCCGGUCCAGGCUCCUGCGGGAGGCACCAGUGGGGAAUAUUGGACAGUGGGCGCAAGCCUGAUCCAGCCAUACCGCGUGGGUGAAGAAGGCCUUCGGGUUGUAAAGCCCUUUUGUUGGGAAAGAAAAGCAGCAGGUUAAUACCCCGCUGUUCUGACGGUACCCAAAGAAUAAGCACCGGCUAACUUCGUG